UGCGUUCAGGGGAUCUAUGUGUUUGAGAGUCUGAGCUGGAAAGUGGGCUGCGUUCAGGGGAUCUAUGUGUUUGAGAGUCUGAGCUGGAAAGUGGGCUGCGUUCAGGGGAUCUAUGUGUUUGAGAGUCUGAGCUGGAAAGUGGGCUGCGUUCAGGGGAUCUAUGUGUUUGAGAGUCUGAGCUGGAAAGUGGGCUGCGUUCAGGGGGUCUAUGUGUUUGAGAGCGUGAGUUGGAAGCAGACAUUAAAAUAUCCUUAAUAUCAUUAAUCAGUAAUAUCAUGAAUCUAUUCUUAAUUUCUUUAAUCCUUAAUAUCUUUCCUUACUGUGUUUUUCUUUUCUCAGGAGAAAGCAGUUUUUGUGAAUGUUGAAUAGCCACCAUGAGGCCCGCUGGUCUUUCCAUGUUUAUUGCCAUCCUCUCAGCCUGUGUCCCGGGGUGCGGCUCCAUGUGGCCUUACUCCAGACCGGAGUGGCAACAGGUUAACAUUGAUCGGCCAAAUGAAGUGGACAUUCACUUAGUGCUUGGGCCAUCCGAUGUCUUCAUCAAUGACCAAGCUUAUAUUAGUUACGCAUCUUCUUACAUCAAAGGGAAAGCAGCUAAGAAAACGUGUAGAGUUAACAAACUAUGGUCAGAAACAUUUUGGCGUGGACUACAACAUCAACAACAUGAAUUACCAUGAACUGGCUAAUGUGGUGAAGGUAUUGGUCAGCAAUAUGAAACAACCCCAAGUUGAAAUGCGAUUCAUUGUGUGCAAUGCUGGAACGGAUGCCGCAAGCAAUUACAUGACUGGAUUCAUGAAGGAGGUGAAUAAUAAUCAUCUAGGGUUCCAGCUCCAUAAGAUUGUGGCGUACGACACCUUCGUGUCAACAACCGACACAUUUAAUGUUUACCAAACCCAAAUGGGCGAUGUUCCUGAAAACCUAUUCUGGAGUUAUGAGCAAAAGGGUACGGAACCUUUUCCUGCUGUCUUGAACCAUGGGCAAAUGAGGAAUGAAAUGAUCAUAAAAGAUCAAAGAAUAUGUUUGUUUACUUAUGAAAAUGGAAACGUGUUUCGCAGCCCCUUGCGAAAAAUGACUAAUAAUAAUAACCAAAUGGAGGUCGAUUUGGAAACAAACAUAAACCAGCUUAAUGACCAAAACAGCUUUGGGGAGCAGCUAGAUAUUAACUUACGUGGUUGUUAUAAGAAGAGGCGACGACGCAGAAAUGUGUGCAAUUCAGAAGAGUAUGUGGUGAAGGACAAGUCACUGCGCAUUAAAGACGGUCAAGUGGAGGUGGAAGUGGCAAGCAGGAGGAAUCCAGAGGACACCCACCUGGUCUCCUUCCCUCUAGAUGAGUCCAAAACCUUCUACACCCGGCAGAUCGAAGAGAAUGCCAUGCAUCAGGGCAGUCGGGUGAAAGCGGCAGGUGGGGGUGCCUUGGACAAGAUCAGCAGAGGCAUGGCGGUGUAUGGCAUUGUGGCUGGCUUCAUUGGGGCGGGGAAGUUUUUUGCAGAGAAUGAUACAGCCAGAGGUGCCUUCACUCUCACCCAGUCUCUACACGGGCUUGGGGGGCUGACUGGCGUGAAUCAACGGCUCUCCAAAAUGUCCCAGAACAUAUUAAAAAGCACCAUCCGUAAAGGGGCAGAGAGAUUGGGUCUAGAGAAGACAUUGGAGAGAGUAAGCGGCUCACUGGAAAGAGUUCAGGAGAGUGCCGCUGGACAAUUUCUGAAGGACAUUCCCUUCGUUGGCUUGGGUUUCCAAUUCUAUUUCAUAGCUGAAGAUUCUGUAGCGAUUCAGACAAGCAACAACUCUGACCCAGAACAGAAGAAAUAUUAUGGCUUAAAAGUUUCAAACUUAGUCUUGGACAUGUCAACCACUGUGCUGUCCAUCGCUGAAGUGGCCUUCCCUCCGGCCGCACUCAUUCUGGAGCCCAUAAUCAUUGGCCUGACCAUAGUUAGGAUGUCUCUCAGUGAUUUUUACUGCGAUGUUGUGAGUGAGCUGGACCGGCUGCCCAAGGGGUCUAAUGACAUACAGAAACUGACUGCUGUUUUAAAAGGGUUAGGGGAAGGUGCUUUGGAUUUUGGCACUGGAGGGCUGCUGAGACAGAUGAAAGAGGUGGAUGAAGAAUACAGAAAAAACCAAGAGCUUCUGUGGAAAUUGUCUUCCCCCGGUGCCUAUUACAGAAUAGUGGCCAAUGACGGUAACGUAAGCACCAUCGACCUGACGGAAGGGGCGCUCUCACAGUACGGGGGUUUGAUAACGGUCCGGCUGUCGAACCACGGCAAUGUUACCAUUCAAGUUGGAGGCAUUGAUGAUGGGCGAGGCGGGGUCAAAACCAUUGUGAAAACAUUCCACAACAACGCCAUUCAGAGCAUCAUUCUUGGGGUGGGGGAGUCUCGCCAGUUCCUGUACACCCAGAAGACUGCAAACCUGUGGUGGGUCAUCCCAGUGCACUCCAAAAAGGUAAUCUGUGGAGAACUCCUGCUCCGCUCCUCCCUGUUCGGCACCUAUUAUGGGAAUGACAAGGACAACUCAUUCUUUGCCCUCCAUCAACCGUCAGCAGAGCAGCCUCCAACAGCUCCCUCAGACCCCUGCGCUUAUGGAGGCCUGGAUUUGGACUACGUGAUCCGGAACUACCGCUACACCAUCCACGGUCAUGGGGGGGAUGACAUUUUCUUUCUCGGGUCGCAGGCUUCGGUGCUCUCUGGCGGAGAAGGGAGGGACCUUUACGUCUUUCCCACAGACGGAAGCAUUUCCGAGAUUGACAAUUUCUCCCACGAUUUGUUUGAGGAUCACCUGUUGAUAAAAGCACCUUUCAGCCGCAUUGAUUGUAUCCGGAAUCAAAACGAUCUUCUCCUCGUUUACGGACAACAGAAGAAGCACCAGAUCACCAUUAGGAACUGGUUUACCCACAGUAACGUUGACUACUAUCAGCACAUGACAUUUCAGUCUUCUGAUGGCGUCAUGUUUAAAAUAGCAGACAGAGGACUUAUGGGGCACAAGUUCCAUACUAACUGUGUCCCGGAAACUCUGGACAACACCAAAUCCCAAAGUCCAAUAUCUCUCAGACUGGAGGGGGUUUACCAAAGUGUAAUCAGGGUUUUGGGCAGCAAUUUUAGUGACAGCAUUUUAGGCAACAAGAGGGACAACGUUCUCAAUGGUGGUCCGGGAGCAGAUGUACUUGAAGGAGGAGAGGGAGCCGACACCUAUGAGAUCUUUCCAGCAGAAGGCUGUGAUAUCAUCAACAACUACGCCACAGACCAGAAAGUAGACUUGGUGGUGUUUCACGUGCCCUUCCAGAGGAUUCGUGCAGAACUGCUGGAUGAUGGUGUUCAGGUGACAGACGAAAAAGAGCCGAAGUCAACGUGCUUCCAUUUGCAAAAGUGGAACACUGACAGACAAUAUCAACACUUGGCGUUUCUGUCUUCUGAUCAUGUGACUUUUUACAUCUCAAAAAGUGAAGACAGUGGGCUGGUAAAGACGCCGCUGAUUGUAGACCUCAGCACAGAGCAACAUGGCAGCACCGUCAACCUCAACAAAACUGACCAACACUUCCACACUGUGGUGACUGUCUUUGACUCCCCCUAUGAUGACAUCGUUGUCGGGAAUGUGCUGGGCAAUUUCCUCAGCUGCAGCGGGGGCAGGGACCACCUGCAGGGAGGAGGUGGCAGUGAUAAAUACGUCAUCAAGUCUGGCUGCGGAGGAGCUCAUAUCAACAAUCUUGCAGAAGACAAAACUAGCGACGUUUUGUUUAUCCAGUAUGCCUGGGGGGAAAUCAAAACAGAGCUUCGAUUGCCACACCUUGUUUUGAAGGUGGCAGUUGUUAACAUUGAAGUCGUCCUGUGGAAGUGGUUCCAGGGUGAGAACUUCCAACACCUGGUUGUGCAGACUUCUGACGGCAUCAUCUCCACCUUGCCGCUCAAUGAGUCCGACCAGGACGUCAUGAGUCCCAUGGAAAUUAACCUCAGCAAGGAGGAGUGUAUAGACCAGAAACAAAUAUUUAACUUGAGCAAAGAGCCCUGGAGGAAAGUGGAAAGGUUCCAAGCCAAAUCUAACAAGUGUUCAUACACUGUGAUUGGAAACUCGUUGGACAACUUCAUUGACCCUGGCAUUGGAAACAUUUACAAGUACCAGUACCUGCGGGGAGGCAAUGGGUCAGACACCUAUGUCCUUGGCCAUGCAUACGGCUAUGAGAACGAAAUUGACAACGAGGCAGGAGACAUGAAAAUGGACAACCUCUUCCUCCAGGUCCUCUAUGAAGACGUCGAAGUUCUCCUGGAGGGACCCCACAUUAUCAUGUUCUCCCGCUCUAGGAACGACUCGGUCCGUGUACGCUUGCUGAAGUACUUGAAGGGGCCGAAGUUUCAGCACCUCCUGGUUCUUUCCUUGGAUGGAUUUCUGUUCAAAAUCAAUGGUGAUUCUUACCCCUACAAGUCCGUUCUCAGCAUUGACAUGGCAUCCUCCACCAAGAGCUGCAACAUCAGCUGUGCCUCAUCAGGAAGUGAAUUCAGCAAUGUUUCUAGAAUACGUGGCGCCACUGCCUUCAGUAACUACAUCACGGGGAGCAACGGCAGUUUCCUUAUUGUCGGGGGCAACAUGAAUGACUAUAUCCAUGGCCACCAGGGAAGCGAGAUGAUCGAGGGCUUUGGAGGAAAUGACAUCAUCAUCGGAGAUGGCGGGAAUGACGUCCUGGAGGGGGGAGAAGGGGAGGAUGAAAUCCAGGGUGGCGAGGGAGACGACUUAAUCUACGGGGGAGGUGGGGCCGACAGGAUUGACGGGGGUCCUGGGAUAGAUACAGUAUUCUUCAGUGGAGACGUGCGGACAGGCAGUGGGGUCACGGUGGACCUACACUCAGGCAGGGGGUGGGGAGCAGACGCGGAAAAUGACACCUUCACUGGUGUGGAGAGGGUAAUUGGGACAGAGUUCAACGACCUGCUGAUUGGCGACAACGAGGAUAACCAGCUGAUUGGGAAAUUCGGAAAUGACAGUCUGGUGCCGGAACACGGGUCAGACCUGCUGUGUGGGGGGCCAGGAAGAGACCUUUACAUUCUGGAUGACAGCAGCGGAGUGAAACACAUCGACAACUUCGCCUCAGAUGGGAUCGAAGAUAGCGUUCUAAUUCGUAACUUCGCCCCCCAGGACGCCUGCUUCUUUACUUUAGAAGGAAACCUUGUUGUUUCUCUGCACUACGAGACCCUCUUCUAA
rnacentral:lncRNA from 13 species